rnacentral:piRNA from 1 species
CUUUUGUUUCUGCUUUGACCU